UACGAAGGGUGCAAGCGUUGCUCGGAAUUAUUGGGCGUAAAGGGUAGGUAGGUGGUUGCAUUUGUCUGGGGUGAAAUCCCUGAGCUUAACUCAGGAAGUGCCUUGGAAACGGUGUAACUAGAGUACUGGAGAGGUUCGUGGAAUUCCCGGUGUAGCGGUGAAAUGCGUAGAGAUCGGGAGGAACACCAGCGGCGAAGGCGGCGAACUGGACAGUAACUGACACUAAACUACGAAAGCGUGGGGAGCAAACAGG
rnacentral:rRNA from 2 species